ensembl:lncRNA novel transcript, antisense to SEPP1
ACAUUUCUUGGUUCCCUGACCAGGAAACGAGGUAACUGAUAGACAUAGACGGCAGAGCUAACCCGUUAGGCGGCUUAGGCCUGUCCUGUGGAGCGUCCCUGCAGGGGACUCCAGUCAGCCUGAGUGACGCGAUCCAAAGAACGCUCCCGGGUAGGAAAUUGCCCCGGUGGAAUGCCUUGCCAGAGCAGCGCAUAGCAGGCCCCUGCAGAGGAUUAACACGGUGGCUGAACACCGGAAAGAACUGGCACUUGGAGUCGCGACAUCUGAAACUUGCUAUAUGGAGGAAGCAGCAGAGAAGGGCAAAUUUUAAAAAGUGGAAGAAAACUGGUAUGCAUAUUUUCAACCAAGUGAAAACGUCAAGGAGGUUAAAGUAAUCAACUGGGUCAAAUGCUGCUGAGAGGUCAAAUAAGUCCUCAAGAAUAACUGUAGAAUGUGCUGGGAGUGCAACAUCCUAAAAUAAGGAGGAAGUGGCUGAAACAGCCUGGGCUGUAUUCCUGUCUCCAUCUAGCACAAGAUGUCCUUCAACCCUUUAGCCCAGCGUGCAAGGUAAGCUGCUUAUUGGGGUCCCUCAGCUGUGGUGCAAGAAGAGCAUGUGCAGUUAAGACACCAUCUACCGUAGGCAGCUUUCUGAGUUACAAGGGACCAACACACAAUGAACCCUAGUCUUGCUAUCCCUUGCUGCCUGUCUGUAAGUACAAAUUUGCUUCAUAUAGCUUGCUUAUGAAUAUCUUAUGUCUCAGCUGAUUCAAAGAAGUUGGUAAGCAGUGCACAGUUAACCUGCUUCACACUUACAAUUUUCUGAUCUUUCACAAAUUACUGGGCAUUGGUCUUACAUCACUGCUCUUUUUGAACCUCGGGAUAUGGUAGAUACAACCAUUCAGUUUAUAUAUUUUUUUAUUUUUGGGACGGAGACUUGCUCUGUCACCCAGGCUGGAGUUCAGUGGCCUGAUCUCGACUCACUGCAACCUCCGCCUCCCGGGUUCAAGCGAUUCUGCUGCCUCGGCCUCCCAAGUAGCUGAGACUACGCGCACCACCACACCUGGCUACUUUUUGUAUUUUUUAAUAGAGACAGGGUUUCACCAUGUUAGCCAGGCUGGUCUCAGACUCCUGACCUGGCUCACGCCUGUAAUCCCAACACUUUGGGAAUUAAUCUUUAGAACUGGGCCAUUUUCCCUAACCACCUCCAAGCUCCCUCCCAAAUAAUCCUUUGAGCUUCCCUCCCAUUCCCCUUCAUCGCAAACACCACACCCACACCCUGCCUUCAGCCCAGUAUCCAUCCCACCAAACGCACACACUCUAGCUCAAAGAUACAGACAUACCUCUUUCCCACAGCCCUGGUUCUCGGUCUCUCCUGUAGUACUACCAGAACGUUUGGGGUCAGAAAUCGGAUAUCUACACUUCCCCGUCUCCCAAAAGAGCUUCCCUCCUUAGGCGUCCGGAGGUCUCUUGGAUUUUUCACUGCUAAUCCCAUCUGUCUUCACUAGACUCACUUCCCACAACUUGCUCCAGGAGGGGCCUAUGUGGACACUGAAGGCGACUGGGGCGGUUCCUCUUCUGAUGUAGUUAGCUCUCAGUUAGCUCACCGCCCAGUUCUCCUUGAUCUCUCCGGGCUGGACCGCCUCGUAAGCAGGAGGAGCAUAGAAGGAGGCGGGCUCCACAAGCUUGAUCUUCUGAAUCCCCUUGUCUCUGUAAACUUCCCCUGGAAGAAGCGAUGCACUGGCGAAGCCAUGUGAGGGGGGCUUUUGGUUCCAGAGAGACAGCCCGAGAGCCCCAGUGGGAACCAUCCGGAGACCCAGAAGAUCGAAUUCGCGGGACGGCGCGUUACCUUCCAACACCGCUGGGCCACCACUC